GCCGGGGUGGUGAAAUGGUAGACACGGGGGUCUCAAAAGCCCCUUCCCGCAAGGGAGUGCCGGUUCGAGUCCGGCUCCCGGCACCA
rnacentral:tRNA from 1 species